UACAGAGGUCUCAAGCGUUGUUCGGAUUCAUUGGGCGUAAAGGGUGCGUAGGCGGCAAGGUUAGUCGGAUGUGAAAUCCCAGGGCUCAACCCUGGAACUGCAUUCGAUACUGCCUUGCUAGAGUACUGGAGAGGAGACUGGAAUUUACGGUGUAGCAGUGAAAUGCGUAGAUAUCGUAAGGAAGACCAGUGGCGAAGGCGAGUCUCUGGACAGUUACUGACGCUGAGGCACGAAGGCCAGGGGAGCAAACAGG
rnacentral:rRNA from 1 species